GACGAACGCUGGCGGCGUGCUUAACACAUGCAAGUCGAACGGAAAGGCCCUGCUUUUGUGGGGUGCUCGAGUGGCGAACGGGUGAGUAACACGUGAGUAACCUGCCCUUGACUUUGGGAUAACUUCAGGAAACUGGGGCUAAUACCGGAUAGGAGCUCCUGCUGCAUGGUGGGGGUUGGAAAGUUUCGGCGGUUGGGGAUGGACUCGCGGCUUAUCAGCUUGUUGGUGGGGUAGUGGCUUACCAAGGCUUUGACGGGUAGCCGGCCUGAGAGGGUGACCGUCCACAUUGGGACUGAGAUACGGCCCAGACUCCUACGGGAGGCAGCAGUGGGGAAUAUUGCACAAUGGGCGGAAGCCUGAUGCAGCAACGCCGCGUGCGGGAUGACGGCCUUCGGGUUGUAAACCGCUUUCGCCUGUGACGAAGCGCGAGUGACGGUAAUGGGUAAAGAAGCACCGGCUAACUACGUG
rnacentral:rRNA from 1 species